rnacentral:rRNA from 1 species
AGUUUAACGGCCGCGGUACUCUGACCGUGCGAAGGUAGCAUAAUCACUUGUUCUUUAAUUGAGGACUCGUAUCAACGGCAUCACGAGGGCCACACUGUCUCCUUUUUCCAAUCAGUGAAACUGAUCUCCCCGUGAAGAAGCGGGGAUAAUUCCAUAAGACGAGAAGACCCCAUGGAGCUUUAAACCCAACAGCAACUCUGAAUGACUAAACCACAAAAUCAAUUGAACCCUGUAAUUGUUGGUUUUAGGUUGGGGUGACCGCGGAGCAUAGGCAAACCUCCACGACGAACGGGACUAAACCCUAAUCCAAGAGCCACUACUCUAAGAAUCAAUACACUGACUUCUAAUGAUCCGACCACUCGAUCAACGAACCAAGUUACCCUGGGGAUAACAGCGCUAUCCACUUCAAGAGCUCCUAUCGACAAGUGGGUUUACGACCUCGAUGUUGGAUCAGGGUAUCCUAGUGGUGCAGCCGCUACUAAAGGUUUGUUUGUUCAACAAUUAAAACCCUACGUGAUCUGAGUUCAGACCGGA